rnacentral:rRNA from 1 species
UUCGCAAUGCCCGAAAGGGUGACGAAGCGACGCCGCGUGAGCGAAGAAGGCCUUAGGGUUGUAAAGCUCUGUCGAGGGUUAUGAAAUGUAGGUGGGUUAAUACCCCGCUUAUUUGACAAAGGCCCCAAAGGAAGUCACGGCUAACUCUGUGCCAGCAGCCGCGGUAAUACAGAGGUGGCAAGCGUUGUUCGGUAUUAUUGGGCGUAAAGAGCACGUAGGUGGGUUUGUAAGUCAGAUGUGAAAGCCUUCUGUUCAACGGAAGAAUUGCAUCUGAAACUGCAAGUCUUGAGUGUAGGAGGGGAGAAUGGAACUUCUGGUGGAGCGGUGAAAUGCGUAGAUAUCAGAAGGAACGCCGGCGGCGAAAGCGAUUCUCUGGCCUAUUACUGACACUCAGUGUGCGAAAGCUAGGGGAGCAAACGGGAUUAGAUACCCCGGUAGUCCUAGCCGUAAACGAUGGGCACUAAGUAGAGGGGUUUU